GGAGGGAGGAUGGUGGGUGGGCCUCCAGCCAGGGUCAGCAGGCUCAGGCCUCAGGGUUUGUCCUCCCGGAAUGUGGCUGUCGGCCCCUAAGCGACCCUCUCCGGUGCCAUCGAGACGCCCCCGGCCUAGGCGCUGCCCGCCUCCCCCAGCUCCACCACGUACUGGAGUCCAAGUAAAAGCCGGGGCGCGGAGGACCCAGUCCCGGGUCCCGCCACGCGCUUCGCGAAGCGAGCUGCUAGAGGAGUAAGAGACACUGGGGCAACACAGGUCCGCGGGGACAGCAUCUCGCGGAAAGUUAGCCCCGGGCAAGUACGCCCCACCCGGACGAACCGGCUUGAAAGGGGGAGGAUUAGACAGAGGGACUGCCCAGGGACAGGAGGUCUCAGGAAAACCCUAUGAAAAGACUGUUCCACAGGCUGCCAACCCGAUGUAAGGACAACUGCAAUCCAACUCUACAUUUUGUGUUAUAUUGACCGGGCCAGACUGCAGGAUUUAAUUAAUUGCUUCAUUUUUAUUUCCUUAUUUUGUUUGUAAAUGCUUAUGCUGAAAACAGCCUAUUAAAUUAUAAGAAUGUGAA